ACACUUCCGGCUCCUGCACGCCGCUUACGCCCACCUGACGACUGCUCGCUACGUUUGUUGGCC
rnacentral:sRNA from 1 species